AAUAUUGGACAAUGGUGGCAACCCUGAUCCAGCCAUGCCGCGUGUGUGAAGAAGGUCUUCGGUAUGUAAAGCAAUUUAAGUAGGGAGGAAGGGCUUUAGGUUAAUACCCUGAAGUUUUGACGUUACCAACAGACUUAGCACCUGCGAACUCUGUGCCAGCAGCCGCGGUAAUACAGAGGGUGCAAGCGUUAACCGGAAUUACUGGGCGUAAAGCGCGCGUAGGUGGUUCAGUAAGAUGGGUGUGAAAUCCCCGGGCUUAACCUGGGAACUGCUUUCAUAACUGCUGAGCUAGAGUACGGUAGAGGGUAGUGGAAUUUCCUGUGUAGCGGUGAAAUGCGUAGAUAUAGGAAGGAACACCAGUGGCGAAGGCGACUACCUGGACUGAUACUGACACUGAGGUGCGAAAGCGUGGGGAGCAAAC
rnacentral:rRNA from 1 species